UACGUAGGGUGCGAGCGUUUGUCCGGAAUUACUGGGCGUAAAGAGCUCGUAGGUGGUUUGUCGCGUCGUUUGUGUAAGUCCACGGCUUAACUGUGGGAUGGCAGGCGAUACGGGCAUAACUUGAGUGCUGUAGGGGAGACUGGAAUUCCUGGUGUAGCGGUGAAAUGCGCAGAUAUCAGGAGGAACACCGAUGGCGAAGGCAGGUCUCUGGGCAGUAACUGACGCUGAGGAGCGAAAGCAUGGGUAGCGAACAGG
rnacentral:rRNA from 1 species